rnacentral:rRNA from 1 species
GUGUCAGCCGCCGCGGUAAUACAGAGGGUGCAAGCGUUAAUCGGAAUUACUGGGCGUAAAGGGCGCGUAGGCGGUUAAAUAAGUGAGAUGUGAAAUCCCUGGGCUUAACCUAGGAAUUGCAACUUAUACUGUUUGACUAGAGUACUGUAGAGGGUAGUGGAAUUUCCGGUGUAGCGGUGAAAUGCGUAGAGAUCGGAAGGAACACCAGUGGCGAAGGCGGCUACCUGGACAGAUACUGACGCUGAGGCGCGAGAGCGUGGGGAGCAAACAGGAUUAGAUACCCUGGUAGUCCACGCUGUAAACGAUGAGGACUAGAUGUUGGUAGGCGAGACCUAUUGGUAUCGAAGCUAACGCGAUAAGUCCUCCGCCUGGGGAGUACGGUCGCAAGAUUAAA